rnacentral:rRNA from 1 species
CUUCUACGGAAGGCAGCAGGCGCGCAAAUUACUCAAUCCCAAUACGGGGAAGUAGUGACAAAAAAUACUAAUGCCUUUCCAUUUAUAUGGGGGGCAAUUGGAAUAAGUACAACUUAAAUCGCUUAGCAAAAGUGAUUGGAGGGCAAGUCUGGUGCCAGCAGCCGCGGUAAUUCCAGCUCCAAUAGCGUAUACUAAAUUUGUUGCAGUUAAAAAGCUCGUAGUUGAGAUUGAGAUUUCUUAGGUUUAGAGUCGCUUGGCCUUCGGGUUUGAGUUUGAUUCGUAAAGCUCUAUAGUAGAAUUCCAUUUUAUUAUUAGGGUUACUAAGAAAUUUCUAUCUGCCCAUGGUAGCUAGCAAUAGUUAUCAAUCGGGUGAUCUACUGUGAGAAAAUUGUAGUGUUCAAAGCAGGCGUCUUACGUUUGUUCAAUGCAGCAUGGUAUAGUAAAAUAUGACACUAAAUAUAUGUUGGUUGUAUAUUCUUAGUGUAAUGACUAAUAGGGAAGGGCGGGGCCGUU